GCGUCGACUGAUUAGAGGCACGAGACCAUUCGUUCGUGCACUUCGGCGAGCGGCGAUCAUUAUCACGCCAAAGGCCUUGUCAUGCACAGUCGAAAGUCGACCGCAAGCCAAUACAUUUCAGAGGAGCCCGAGUCCUGAAAAACAGGUCUCCGGCAGCCUCCACGAUCCAAGCACCCUCUCGAAGCAAAUCGAGAGGGGUUGAGAAUUUAAUGACGCUCAAACAGGCAUGCUCAUCGGAACACCGAUAAGCGCAAGGUGCGUUCAAAGAUUCGAUGAUUCACUGUAGAUCUGCAAUUCACAUUACAUAUCGCGAUUCGCUGCGUUCUUCAUCGAUGCGAGAGCCAAGAGAUCCAUUGCUGAAAGUUGUAAUAAACUUUUGUCUCAAAGAAUCGCGUCUCCUAGAAGUCGCGAGUCGAUGAUGGUAAAAACAUUCAUAGACUUUCUACACGAAGGGGCUUAUGAAGACGCGGGUCGCCCCGCGCCCAUAAGGAC
rnacentral:misc_RNA from 1 species